UACGGAGGGUGCAAGCGUUAUCCGGAUUCACUGGGUUUAAAGGGUGCGUAGGCGGGCAGGUAAGUCAGAGGUGAAAUCUCCGGGCUUAACCCGGAAACUGCCUUUGAUACUAUCUGUCUUGAAUAUGGUGGAGGUAAGCGGAAUAUGUCAUGUAGCGGUGAAAUGCUUAGAGAUGACAUAGAACACCCAUUGCGAAGGCAGCUUACUGCGCCGAUAUUGACGCUGAGGCACGAAAGCGUGGGGAUCAAACAGG
rnacentral:rRNA from 1 species